UACGUAGGGGGCAAGCGUUUGUCCGGAAUUAUUGGGCGUAAAGAGCUCGUAGGCGGCUUGUCACGUCGGGUGUGAAAACCCGGGGCUCAACCCCGGGCCUGCAGUCGAUACGGGCAGGCUAGAGUUCGGCAGGGGGAGACUGGAAUUCCUGGUGUAGCGGUGAAAUGCGCAGAUAUCAGGAGGAACACCGGUGGCGAAGGCGGGUCUCUGGGGCCGAUACUGACGCUGAGGAGCGGAAAAGCGUGGGGGAGCGAACAGG
rnacentral:rRNA from 1 species